UGGUGAUACCCCCCGGACUGAGCGAGGAGGAGGAGGCUCUGCAGAAGAAAUUCAACAAACUGAAAAAAAAGAAAAAGGCAUUGCUGGCUCUGAAGAAGCAAAGCAGCAGCAGCACAGCCAGCCAGGGCGGUGUCAAACGCUCACUCUCUGAGCAGCCUGUGGUGGCCACG